CAGUCGCCGCGGGAAUACGAAGGGGGCUAGCGUUGUUCGGAAUUACUGGGCGUAAAGCGCACGUAGGCGGAUAUUUAAGUCAGGGGUGAAAUCCCAGAGCUCAACUCUGGAACUGCCUUUGAUACUGGGUAUCUUGAGUAUGGAAGAGGUGAGUGGAAUUCCGAGUGUAGAGGUGAAAUUCGUAGAUAUUCGCAAGAACACCAGUGGCGAAGGCGGCUUACUGGCUCGAAACUGACGCUGAGGCGCGAAAGCGUGGGGAGCAAACAGGAUUAGAUACCCCUGUAGUCCCUGUCUCUUAUAC
rnacentral:rRNA from 1 species